rnacentral:rRNA from 1 species
AUUGAACGCUGGCGGCAUGCCUAACACAUGCAAGUCGAACGGAAACAGGUCGUCUGUUGCUGACUAGUGGCGAAGGGGGGAGUGAUACAUCGAAGCGUGUCCAGACGUGGGGGGGAUCGAGGCGAAAGAUGUGCUAAUACCGCAUACGAGCUAAGGAUGAGAACAGGGGGGCGCAAGGGCGCGUGCGGUUUGAGCGGACGAUGGCAGAUUAGCUAGUUGGUGGGGUAAAAGCUUACCAAGCCGACGAUCUGUAGCUGGUCUGAGAGUAGGAGCAGCCACACUGGAACUGAGACACGGCCCAGACUCCUACGGGAGGCAGCAGUGGGGAAUCUUGGACAAUGGGCGAAAGCCUGAUCCAGCAAUGCCGCGUGCGGGAUGAAGGUCUUCGGAUUGUAAACCGCUUUUAUUCGGGACGAAAAGGCUUUGGCUAAUACCUGGGGGUCAUGACGGUACCGUAAGAAUAAGCACCGGCUAACUACGUG